rnacentral:lncRNA from 1 species
AUUAAGGAAUUAAAAUAAUUUUUAUCAAAGAACACGUAUUUACUGAACUGCUCUAUUUCCUGCACUGUGCUGGUGCUGUGGGGAACACAAAAGAGGCAAUUAUUUCUCUACUCUUGGGGACUUUAUGGUUUAACCUGAAAGACAAGGCUGACCCACUUGAAACAAUUAGACAUUGUCUGCCAAGGAGGGUGCUGCAGAACGCUCACCGUGGGAGAGCUACAUCAGAAAGAGUACUGUGGUCAAUUACAUUUGAAAUGUUGCUUAUUAUACCCUCCUUCAGAGAUUUCAGUGUACUUAUGCACACUAAAUGCUCUGAGAAAUCGCGUGAUAAAGAAGCCUGUGUAAAUUCCAAAUCUCAUAUGACCAGAAGGCCUUUUUGGUGUGGGUAACACCUAUUAAUAUCCUGUGGUUCUGAGGAAUACACUGAUUUAGAGAAUAGAAAUAAGUGUUAAACUGCACAGACACAAUUAUAUACAAAGCAGUGCAAAGAAAGAGACAUCACUCUGGGUUUGAAUAGGUAGGAAAAUAUCCUAGUAUGAGUCCAGCUUUGGGGUAUUAAAUCGAGGACUAUUUUAUAACCUGGGUUCUUGAUGUUUCUUUUCUUUUUCUCUUCCACAUAGGGAGAGUAUGUGCCCUCACCAUUGCCUGGGCAAGGUUGGAUGACUUCUCCUCCUGGUAGCUGUAGAGACCAUCAUGUGCCAAACAGUGUGCCACAUGCUCUACUUCCAUUAUUUCAGUGCCACUCUGGGAGUUGGAGACAUCAUAAACUCUCUUUCACAGGUGUGCAAGCUUUGGGUAGAAAGGGAAUGUGACUUUCCUGUAGUUGCAAUGCUAGUGAGUGGUAGAGCCAGGACUCAAAAUCAGUCUGAAAUGAAAAGCCAUACAUUUAACCAUUAGUCUAUAUAUUGUACUACAUUCCAAAGAAGACCCAGAGGUUCUCAGGGAAGAAGCAACAUGAAAAAGCUUAGAGGCCACUGAUAUUUUCUCCUUUUGCCUAAGUGAGUUUGAUGGGUAAUUUUAUGUGUCAGCUUGCCUGGGUUACAGUGCCUAGAUAUUUGGUAAUGUGUCUGUGAGGGUGUUUUUGGAUGAGAUUUACACUGAAAUUGGUGGACUUCAAAUGAAGCAGAGUGCUCUCUAUAAUGUGAAUGAAUCUCCUGAAAUCAGUUGAAGGCCGGAACAGAACAAAAGACUGACCUCCCCAGAGCAAUAACAAAUUGUGCCAGCAGAUGUCCUUUGGACUUGAACUGCUACACUGGCUCUUCUUGGGACUCCUGCUUGCCAGUCCACUUGGCAGAUUUUGGACUUGAUCGCUUCCAUGAUUGCAUGUCAAUUCCAAAAUUGUCAAUUCCAAAAUAAAUCAUACACACACACCCACAGAACCUAUUGGUUCUGUUUCUCUGGAGAAAUCUAAUACAGUAAAGAGAGGAAAAUCAAAUAAAUGUCCUCUGGGAUUGCAGGGCCCAGUCAUGGAGAUACUAGCCCAACGGAGAGAGCAGGAACUGUUUCCACAGUGGACAGGUCUGCAGCAAACAUAGCCCAAGAGCCAUGACUUAUCAUCCUGUGCACCAGGCCCUCCUGUGGCCAAUACAGCUGUCAGGGCGUAGCCCCGCAUAGAACAGCUCUCAAGUCUUGACCUCCAGAUGGAGUCAUCUUCCUUGAAAUUCUGCCUUCUUUUCUGAGAGGCAUAUUUCCACAGGAUUUGAUUCACUUGUGGUGAAUGUGAAGAAUGUCAGGAACAUCAUUCACCGUUGGUGCGUAGUAAACCUGGUGGUUCUGAGUCAAGGCUUGAUGGUUGGUAUCAGUUCUAAUUUUGGUUCUGUUACUUCUAACCAGGUGACUCUGAGCAAGCUUGGACACCUUUUGUCUUAAUUUCCUCAUCUGUAAAAUGAACAUAACAACAGCAUCUACCCCAUAGAGUUCUAGGAAGAUUAAUUGAAACAAUAUGUGUACAAUACCCUAAGGCUGAAGCAAGCUUGAUUGAAAAAGGAACACCUAAAACAAAGAAUCCUGCGCCAGGAGAAGAUGCUGUGGGAAGAGGUGCUGUUCAUGAGGACUUUACUUCGAUCUGAGAAGAAACUGAAAGUAAAAAGAAGUUUUGAUUAUCCAGUUAAUCAAGCUGAAGGUGGGUUCCAACAGGACUGAAUUUAAAUCUGUUUUUCUGCCUGUCCCAAGUGGUAGAUUUCCUCUUUUGAGAUUUCUUUCAUCUCCUAUAAAGACAAGUUUUACCAUCAAAUUCUUUUUAUCUGAUUUUGCCUUUUAAUACCUGCAUUGUAAACUUUGAUCUCUCUUGAAAAAAGUGGGUGGAAUCAUGAAACAUUGAAAUCGUGUUGAUUACUAAAAUGUAAGCUUGCUUUUCUUUGUUUCUGUUGCACAUGACAUCAUUGAUUUCUUUUCUCUCCACUUCCGCUUCCUUUCUUUUUUCUCCCAAAAGUACAUGUUAUCUCCAAAAUUUUCUGAGUAGGAAGAAACUAGUUCAAUUUCUGUUUCUUCCAGCAUCCACUAGUUUUAGAAUAAAGAGUUGAUUACGAUGCUUCUAAUUCAAAAGCACUGUGGUUUGGGGCCAGCCCGGUGGCAUAGUGGUUAAGUUUGUGUGCUCUGCUUUGGCACCUUGGGGUUUCGCAGGUUCAGAUCCUGCAUGCGGACCUAGCACUGCUUGUCAAGCCACGCUGUGGUGGCAUCCCGCAUAAAAUUGAGGAAGAUUGGCACAGAUGUUAACUCAGGGCCAGUCUUCCUCACACACACACACACAUACACACACACACACAAACCAAUGUGGUUUAUUUUUCCCAAACACACUGGUCUAUUGAUGUCUCUGCCGUUUCUCACCUGGAUUACGCUAUUGCCACCUAACCAGUGUCUUUGCUCACUCUUGAUCCACGAUUACCCAAUUUUCACCCAAUUUGAUAUAAAAAUAUCACAGUGAUAUUUUUAAAAUUUGGAUGAUGCCAACUCCAGCUGAAAACUCUCAAAUCUUCCUACCAAAUCCAGUGGAUUCUGGCCCCUCUUAUCCCUCUAACUCGGUCACUACACUCCAGCUACACUGGCCUCUCUUGGACUAUCGCAGGCUUGGUUGUACCUUAGGGUUUGGAGCCCUAGUUUGUUUUAUAUCUGCCUCCUUCUCAUCAUUCAUGUCUCAUCUCAUAUGUCACCUCUUCAGAGAGGCCUUCCCUGACCACCUGCCCAAAGUGUGUCUACCUCAGUGCUCAUUGCUGUCACCUCACUCUGUUUUGUUUCCAUCAUGGUUUACCUCACUCUGAAAUCAGCAAGUUUAUUUAUUUGAUUUUAUAGUAUAUUCUUUCUGGUUUCCCAAUAAGAUAAUGAACUUUUGAGGGUGUUGACUUUGUUUGUCUGGUUUGCCACUGUAUCUUGAGCACCAGAAUAAUCCUUGGAACAUAGUAAUUGUUCAAUAAAUAUUUGUCAAAUGAGUAAUUAGUUACCUAGGCAUGUUUCCUAAUUAUAUUCUGGUCAGAGACAUAUGUGUGCCUCUUGAUUGAGAAGUUUGGCCCUAAUUAUAGGUUCGUCUAAAUAUAUCAAAACAAAUGAUGCCUGCUAAUUGCUCAGGUUCUCAUAUUUUCAUGGAGUGGGUUGAAUUAAUCUUCAACCUGGGCUGUCAUAAUGUAUAAGGGUGUAUAUUGAUGGAGAAGUCUAGCAGCAAUAUUUCUUGGACAUUAUGGGAAAUGCAGGAAUGACGGCAGGACCCAGUAGGAAUGCCACUGACUGAAGUCCGUAAAUGUGUAGGCAUCUAAAUAUCAGGGAAGAGUCUUUACCCCACCCCCCUUUAUCACUCACAUCAAAAGUCUUCUUAAAGAUUCUUUAGCACAUGAGUGCUAAAUAGUAUGGAACUUUCCAGCCCAGGAGAACAAAGGCAGCAAGUGACAGAUUCUGUCUAGUGGCUCUCCCCAGUAUAGCUGGAAUUUAAUUUCAAUAAAGCAGAUGACUUCUUAGGGAGGGUAAGUGAGCUAUUAAUUCAUGAGAAGGAAAAGAGGAGGUUAAAUGUGGGGCUGUCAAUCCGAGCAAUGCCCUUGCAAGACAGAUGAUACCAUCUUCCCUUUUCAAUAGCCUUCCUGGCAUCUAAUUUGCAUGAGUUGUGAGAUAACACUCAGCUCUGUCUCAUUUGCAAAUCUGGAAACAUAAGGGACAGACAGGCCUCCAACAGUAAAUCCAGAAAGUGUAGCAAGGUUAACUCUUCUCAUUUAGAGACGGAAAUGAUGUGCUGGUCACCGCCUGGAUGAAAAAGAAGGGCCUGUGAAAUUAUGGGGAUAUCUACGAAAGUAAAUAUGGUUAUAGUUCCCGAAAUAAGACAGUCAGAUAAAGGAUUUACUGUCCCAAAAUCAAGGGUGUCUUCAGAAGACUGCUCCUUAAUGAAUGAAUGGAAUUCUCAUCAAGCAAAAGAGCAAUCAGCAGGGUGGACAGUCAUGGCUUCGUGAUAUUCUUGGAUGAGUUACCAAAAGUUUUUUUUUUUCUUGUAUUUCCUGUUCCCGUUUGGACUGCAAGAUCUGUGUCCUUCAUUGCCUCAAGUUAAGGGGAAUGAAAAAGAAAUCCAAGAAAAACUUGAACUUUUUCAAAAGAACAGUCUAACCUUUGAGAGUACUCAGAGGAUAAACACUAACGUGAGCAGACUACAAGAUGAGUCAGCGGCAGGAAUCAGGCCAGGAGACUAGACAGCGACUCCACAGGUGGAGAGGUAGAAACAAGUCUGAGAAGAAGCAGUGCACAUGGGCUCAGAAACGGGAUAUCCCCACCUUGACCUAGCCCCUCAGGCUAAUUCAGGUGGGGAUUGCAAUAAAAAAUGACAGGUAUGUCUGAAGCUCUGUGUGCGGCUUCCAGAAUAGAAUCUCAGAGAGGUGGCAAGACCUCAGAGAGGAAAUGGUGGUGAGAUUGGGCAGAUGGGUCCUUAGUUCACAGUGCCACCACCUAGCCUGUCACUGGAGCAGUGCUGCAGAAUUAGUGCCCCCUGCCCUCGCCCCCAGCAGCGACUCCUCGACCAGUAGAUUCAUGGGAGAUAGUGCACAAAUAUCCAAGCUCUCUUGUGCUCAGGUGAGAUAACUCAAAGGUGUGUGUUCUACAUUGACCCCCAGGAUUCCCCAGCAGGAAAAAUCUCAUUACUCAUAGCGGCUGCCUUGCCUUCCCUUCUCCAUCUCACUUCUCACUCUCCUACUGUUUCCUGGGAUCAGCUCCAAACAAACUACAUACACUUGAAUCUUUGUCUCAAGAUCUGUUCCUGGGGGAAUCCAAACAUACACAAUCAAAUCUAUGUACACCUCACCCCACCCAAACGAGCCCUGACACCAUGUAAUUACCCUGGAACUUGGCACAAGUUGAGUAAAGAUGAAGCAACUGUAAAAUAACAGAGACUAAGUUUUCAUCACCUGGUUGAAUGAUUACUGAAAAUAGGAUUUUAAUUCAGUUAUAGAAAAAUAAAGAAAUAUAUGUCUGUGUACUUGCCUUUUGGCCAGAGAUUCCUAUAUAUCCGUUGAUGGACUGAUUUGUUCACAAAAUUUGUCUAUUCAGAAAGGGAGACUGUCAUACUGUCAGCUUCUGCUUUAUAUCCUGCCUUUGUCUUCCCUGUUUCCCAUGAGCACAUGUACUGAACUCCCCCCGCCCCCCCAAUACCCAGGCCUUCUUAAAUUUCUAAAAACCUUUUAAGAGCCAAUCCUGAAGUAACUAGAAGGGUCAGUCAUCUCUCCACCUGGAAUGGCUAACCAUAUAUAGCAUACCUGGAUACCUAUAUAGUCUUGAGUUGCUAGAUACACUUUCUGGAACUUUUCAUUCCUGGUGCCAACCCUUGCUGACUGUAGAAGUAAGCUAAUGCCUUGCUGCAUACUCUACAAUGUGGAAACUUCUGUAGCAGAAAAAAUAUGUUUAUAAUAUAACUUAUUUUUUCUGAUAUUUUAUUAUCCCUCUUGGCUGAUUUAGUCAUGCUCAACUCAAGUUCUUAACCUAGCCUCCAAAGGAAUUUAGAAUGAGAAAGGAUUAGUUACUUUCUGCAAUCUCACUGCCAGAUUCUCUCUGAAGCAAGAAAAUAGUAAACCCCACUAAAGAAGCCCAAUCUAGGUCAGGGUAUCUGACCCAAUCUCAGUUUCAUUGGCCAGAAUCCACAGACAGGGUAGCGAUUUAACUGCAGCUUGUGCAAGAAGUGUAUUCUUCCCGGAUGUCCAGGAAGAGGAAAAUGUAAUGGAAAUUGAUAAAUAUACAGCAUUGUUUCUGCCACUAGGAACUUUCCCAAAUACCAGAAAUUAAUAGAUGGAGCCAACCAUGAGUUGUACACUCAUAAAAAAAGCAAACCAAUAAUGAAGCUAUACUUAUGACCCCACUUUUUGUAUUCUGAAAUUUACUUCCAGCAUCUAUUAAUUUAUAUACUUCCUCUUUCCAAAAAUGACUUGAGAAGGCUUCUAAUAAAAGAAGAGGAGAGGAAUACAAAAUUAAUAAUGGAGAAGGCACAAAAAUGUUAGUUUUGAGCUUCCUGGCUGUUUUGGUGGAAAACUUCAAUGCCGUCAUUUUCUAAUAAAGUUCCUGUUUAUCAGGGUAUGUAAUAAUAUUCUUGCCCUGAUUUUGCUUUUGAUGUGUUUUAUAUGGCAGGGAUCAUGCAACAUACUAAAUAGCUUUUUCAAUAGCCAUUUUCAAGAGGUGACAAAUAUUUUGUCCUUUCAAUCAGAAGAAAUAAUAGU